GAAUAGGAAGAAAGGCAGCCUUGUUCUGGUGAAUUCUUGCAGGAGUUGAACGUGAUUUGGGAAGGAACCGUGGAAGCGGCGUGGUAGAUUAGGGUAGAAAGACUAAGAUUUAUAAGAAAAUUUGUGAUGAUGGGAGGAGAGGAAGACGCAUGAACACGGAGGAGGAGAAAUCCUUUGCUAAUUUUUUAUUUUAUUAUUUUCUUCUUUCCUCAAUUGUAAUCAAGGAAGAGGUUUAGGGAAAAGGGAAAAGGGAAAAGGGAAAAGGGAAAACAGUUUUUUUUAACGUGUGUUGAGGGAGGUUUUCGGAUUCUUCCUCUUUUUUGAAUUAAAUUGAAUUUGGUUAA